GGGUUAAGGAAGGAGGUAGGGGAGCCCGUAAGCAUCAAGAGAGGUUCCACACCUCUAAGACGAAGCCAGGUUGACUUCCAAGCUCCUGGGCUUUCUAACUGUUCUUCCACGAGUUGCGCACAGUAUGGUGUUUGCGGGGACUGUGGUGUGUCUACAGAAAAGAGCUUAUAAACCAAAUGGGCAAGGGAGUCAGAGCCUGACAGAUUUCCUUGGUCCUCUACAAUGUCUCUGUGUAACCACCUUCUCAGUGACUAACUUGUUGAACUUGGUGACACUGGCUGACCCCAGUUUCUGAACAAGCACGGUCACCGCAGAGGAGGUUAACACCUAUGUUGAUCGACGUCCAGACUCGAACCUCCUGGGAAGACGGAAGACGGGCCAGCAAUGGUCAGCAGAGGUUCUCUUCUGUCCUGUCCUCUUGGAAGUGAGCCUGGGAGCCCGAAGCUUGAGCUGAUGGAGGCAGCAGGCCUGCAGCUUAUCAAAUGUGUUAUAAAUCAUCGGUAGACAUGAAAAAGCUUGGUUGUUGGUAAGAAAUGGAUGUGGAGAUUGGACACUCAAUGAGCUCCAAUGUAGGCAGUUACCCCAGAGCUUCUGAAGAGGACACAGAGAAUUGGAUGUAUGGUCUCUCAUGUGCCAGGUAAGUCCUCCACCCCUGAGCUUUGUGCCCAGAUCCUUGGCGGUUUCCCCUUUGGUAAUUUCAUAAACUAACACAGUGCACCCUACUCCCCUCACUCUCAAGACCCCCAACCACACCACCACAUUUUC
rnacentral:lncRNA from 1 species